rnacentral:rRNA from 1 species
UACGUAGGGGGGCAAGCGUUGUCCGGAUUUAUUGGGCGUAAAGGGCUCGUAGGCGGCCAACUAAGUCAGACGUGAAAUCCCUCGGCUUAACCGGGGAACUGCGUCUGAUACUGGAUGGCUUGAGAUUGGGAGAGGGAUGCGGAAUUCCAGGUGUAGCGGUGAAAUGCGUAGAUAUCUAGAGGAACACCGGUGGCGAAGGCGGCAUCCUGGACCAACACUGACGCUGAGGAGCGAAAGCCAGGGGAGCAAACGGG